UCGGAGCGUGCCUAGCGGUGCUGCGCAGUCCCCGAGGUCUCUGGUUCACAUGCAGAUGGAGAUCCAGUAGGUCCGGGUGGGCCUGCUUGUACUUGGAGUGUCAAGGAAUUAGAGGACCCUCACUUGCAGCUCGGAGGAGGUAGAAGGAAAGGCAGCUCCGCCCAGGAGAGACAUCCCCUAAAGCAUUUCGCCGCUCAGCAUUAUUACUGGUCAGUCAAGGAUCAUGAACAAUUUGGUGAAAGAGCAACUCACCCGGGGAGAAAAAGAUCAAAGAAGAUGUUGAACACUGAAUUCGUCCCAGAGAUUUGAGCGCCCAGCAUGUUAGUCACCACAGCGCACGGCUAUGCAGAAGGAGGGAGCCAGGGACAUGAGAGAGGCCUUGAAAAUUAAACAUUGGCUCCCCAAAUAAAAUGAAAAAUCAAAAGAAUUGAAUCAUUGGUUUGGCUGACAGCUAACGUACUAAUCUGGAAGGUCAAGUUGAGAGAGUAGCUCAGGAUGCAGAGAAUGACAGAAAGGGAAAAUAUAAGAAAGAAGUCGAGAUGGAGGGUAGAUCCAGAAAGCUGAUAAUAAUGUAAUUCAUCUGAGGUGAGAGAACAGAGGUAGAGAAGCAAAUAAAUGAUAAAAAUGAGUAUCUCUGAACUAAAAAACUUUCCGAUGAAAAACAUUCACCAUGUGCCUGGAACUAUUCUGCUGAAAUUUAAAAAUUCCUAACAUAAAGCUUGCAGAGAGAAUUACCAGGAUACCUGCAAGCUCCGCCCCCCAACCCCCCCAAAACCACAAAUACAAGCCUAAGGUUGUCAUCAUACAUUUUCCAUUAAUAAUACUGAUUUUGGAAGACAGGAGAGCAAGAUUUCAAAGUUCUCAGGAAACAUUAUUUUGAACCUAAAUGUUAUAGCCAGCUAGCCUGUUACUCAAAGAUCCAGGCAAAAUGAGCCAAUGACUCAGGAAGUUUCUCCUGUUUACUUUUCCCUGGGUGACUUGGGAUAUACCUUAGGAGAAGGAAAAACAAAUCUAUCAAACAGCAGAACUGCUGAGGAACAAAAUGAAAAGAAAUUUCAAAUGAUCAGCAGCAAAUGGACCUAGAAAGCAGUUGGCCCAAAGUAGAACACAGUAGACAGGGGGUGGUGAUUGAUGAACACUGAUUAAUAAAAUGUGUAACAAUCUGGAAGAUGUUCAAUCUGUCAAAAGGUCCACCUAUGUUUAUCCUCUCCAUUUGAAUAAAGGGAACUAAAACUA